rnacentral:rRNA from 1 species
CCUACGGGAGGCAGCAGUGGGGAAUAUUGCGCAAUGGAGGAAACUCUGACGCAGCAACGCCGCGUGAGUGAGGAAGGACUUCGGUCUGUAAAGCUCUGUUAAUGUGGAAAUGGUACACAUAGAGGAAGCACCGGCUAACUUCGUGCCAGCAGCCGCGGUAAUACGAAGGGUGCAAGCGUUGUUCGGAUUUAUUGGGCGUAAAGCGCGCGUAGGCGGACCUGCAAGUCAGAUGUGAAAUCUCGAGGCUCAACCUCGAAACUGCGUCUGAAACUCAGGUCUAGAAUCUCGGAGGGGGAAGGGGAAUAUCGCAUGUAGGGGUAAAAUCCGUAGAUAUGCGAUGGAACACCAGAGGCGAAGGCGCCUUCCUGGCGGUAUUGACGCUGAGGCGCGAAAGCGUGGGGAUCAAACAGGAUUAGAUACCCAGUAGUC